rnacentral:rRNA from 1 species
AACCGUAAGGAAACCCAGGCUAAUACCGCAUACGUCCUACGGGAGAAAGGGGGCUUCGGCUCCCGCUAUUGGAUGAGCCUAUGUCGGAUUAGCUAGUUGGUGAGGUAAAGGCUCACCAAGGCAACGAUCCGUAGCUGGUCUGAGAGGAUGAUCAGCCACAUCGGGACUGAGACACGGCCCGAACUCCUACGGGAGGCAGCAGUGGGGAAUAUUGGACAAUGGGCGCAAGCCUGAUCCAGCCAUGCCGCGUGUGUGAAGAAGGCCCUCGGGUUGUAAAGCACUUUCAGCGAGGAAGAACGCCUAGCGGUUAAUACCCGCUAGGAAAGACAUCACUCGCAGAAGAAGCACCGGCUAACUCCGUGCCAGCAGCCGCGGUAAUACGGAGGGUGCAAGCGUUAAUCGGAAUUACUGGGCGUAAAGCGCGCGUAGGUGGCUUGAUAAGCCGGUUGUGAAAGCCCCGGGCUCAACCUGGGAACGGCAUCCGGAACUGUCAAGCUAGAGUGCAGGAGAGGAAGGUAGAAUUCCCGGUGUAGCGGUGAAAUGCGUAGAGAUCGGGAGGAAU